rnacentral:misc_RNA from 1 species
GCGUCAUUUCAACCCUCAAGCUCUGCUUGGUGUUGGGGUCCUACGGCUGCCGUAGGCCCUGAAGAAGUGGCGGGCUCGCUACAACUCCGAGCGUAGUAGAUUCUAUCUCGCUAGGGAAGUGUAGAGUGCUCCUGCCGUUAAAGACCCAUCUUUAACCCAAGGUUGACCUCGGAUCAGGUAGGAAUACCCGCUGAACUUAA